CUUUUUCGUCGCUCAAGGACUUGAAGCUGAGCACGUUGCCGUUCUCCAGGGCGGUGUUAGUAAACGCGAAGGAGUGAUCUGUCGGACUGUCGCCAGGUCUCUUGGAAAGAAAAGACGUUGAUGUAAAGUAUCGAACGAUGCAAAAGAGCGCGACGAGGCACAUGAGUACUCCACCCAUGACCGGUAACCCGAUCACAAUGAACUCGGUCAGCGGCGACUUUCCUGGGAUAAACAAGUGAUUUUAAAAGUAGGUUAUCACAUAUCACAAUAUUACCUUGAUUUAAGAUAUGAUCAAAUGGAGUUGA